UAUUGCACAAUGGGGGAAACCCUGAUGCAGCAAUGCCGCGUGAGGGAAGAAGGUCUUCGGAUUGUAAACCUAAGUAGCCAGGGACGAUAAUGACGGUACCUGGAGAGUAAGCUCCGGCUAACUACGUGCCAGCAGCCGCGGUAAUACGUAGGGAGCGAGCGUUGUCCGGAAUUACUGGGUGUAAAGGGUGCGUAGGCGGGAUGGCAAGUCAGAUGUGAAAUACCGGGGCUUAACCCCGGGGCUGCAUUUGAAACUGUCGUUCUUGAGUGAAGUAGAGGCAGGCGGAAUUCCUAGUGUAGCGGUGAAAUGCGUAGAUAUUAGGAGGAACACCAGUGGCGAAGGCGGCCUGCUGGGCUUUAACUGACGCUGAGGCACGAAAGCAUGGGGAGCAAACAGG
rnacentral:rRNA from 1 species